rnacentral:rRNA from 1 species
GAUGAACGCUGGCGGCGUGCCUAAUACAUGCAAGUCGAGCGAACAGAUGAGGAGCUUGCUCCUCUGACGUUAGCGGCGGACGGGUGAGUAACACGUGGAUAACCUACCUAUAAGACUGGGAUAACUUCGGGAAACCGGAGCUAAUACCGGAUAAUAUAUUGAACCGCAUGGUUCAUUAGUGAAAGACGGUUUUGCUGUCACUUAUAGAUGGUUCCGCGCCGCAUUAGCUAGUUGGUAAGGUAACGGCUUACCAAGGCGACGAUGCGUAGCCGACCUGAGAGGGUGAUCGGCCACACUGGAACGGAGACACGGUCCAGACUCCUACGGGAGGCAGCAGUCGGGAAUCUUCCGCAAUGGGCGAAAGCCUGACGGAGCAACGCCGCGUGAGUGAUGAAGGUCUUCGGAUCGUAAAGCUCUGUUAUUAGGGAAGAACAAAUGUGUAAGUAGCUAUGCACGUCUUGACGGUACCUAAUCAGAAAGCCACGGCUAACUACGUG